AGGAGUUACGAAGUUUGGAGC
rnacentral:misc_RNA from 1 species